CCUACGGGGGGCUGCAGUGGGGAAUAUUGGACAAUGGGGGGAACCCUGAUCCAGCCAUGCCGCGUGUGUGAAGAAGGCCCUCGGGUUGUAAAGCACUUUCAGUGGGGAAGAACGCCUGGUGGUUAAUACCCAUCAGGAAAGACAUCACUCACAGAAGAAGCACCGGCUAACUCCGUGCCAGCAGCCGCGGUAAUACGGAGGGUGCGAGCGUUAAUCGGAAUUACUGGGCGUAAAGCGCGCGUAGGUGGCUUGAUAAGCCGGUUGUGAAAGCCCCGGGCUCAACCUGGGAACGGCAUCCGGAACUGGCAAGCUAGAGUGCAGGAGAGGAAGGUAGAAUUCCCGGUGUAGCGGUGAAAUGCGUAGAGAUCGGGAGGAAUACCAGUGGCGAAGGCGGCCUUCUGGACUGAAACUGACACUGAGGUGCGAAAGCGUGGGUAGCAAACAGGAUUAGCUACCCGAGUAGUC
rnacentral:rRNA from 1 species